AGUAGAGACAGGGUUUCACCAUGUUGGCCAGGAUGGUCUCAAUCUCUUGACCUUGUGAUCUGCCUGCCUCAACCUCCCAAAGUGCUGGAAUUACAAGUGUGAGCCACCGCGCCCAGCCCCAUUUCUUAUUUGGUCUGGCCAUCUUCUAAAGAGUUUGAACCUACUGAAGAACUAUCUUGACUGUCUUGAUGAGGGAGCUGAAGAAAUCCUUCACUGGAGUCUGAGCGGAAGUGGAAUCUAUUUUCCUUCUUCUUGAAUUUGGAAUGCUUUUGGCCAAGAGAAAGAGGUGGAAGUGAUGGUGUAACAGUUCCAAGUCUAGGCCUCAAGUUGCCUGUGGACUUCCACUCAGACUCUCAGAGCCCUGCUGGAGGAUGGAGAGACCACAUGGAACAGAGAAGGGUUAUCCCACCGAGGCCACCAUAGACCAGCCAGCCCUCAGCGUACAUGCCAGCUAAUUACAGAUGCAGGAGCAAACCCCUGGCCCAUACAUCAAUUUUAAUGUCAUUGAAUACAGAGAACAAAUCUCAUUCACUUUGGUAUCGGCUGGAGUCAACAAACAUUUAAAAAUCAUUUACUGCGUCUGAUUUUGGGUAUGUUGAAUUGGUGACGUCUGAGUUGCUUCUGGUCUAUCCUGAUAGAAACAUACAGUAAACAGAGAAAAAAAAGGAUCUCAGGUGAGAUGAUGUAUGGGAAUGCUCAGCAUACAGAAUGAAUGGAUAAGAGGCCUGAAAACAUAAUCCUGUAAACAACCAUAUUGAAAGAGAAGACAGAAGACAUCAAACAGGAUUUUGGAAGCAUUGCCUUCUACAGAAUCCACAGUAGUCCGAAGCUCUUCUACGGUUUUUGUCAAACUUUGAUUUUCCAUCUCUAGCUUCAAUAAUCUACUUGAUGUCAACUCAUUCACCUCAUGGCCCAGGGAUUUCUGGGGUGCUAUAAUAUUGAAAAAUACACCAUUGUAUUUACUCUUUACUGUUUUUACUAUGUUUACUCUUUACUAUUUAAAAAGUUGAGUGUAUAUGCAUUGCAUCAUCUGAUCCUUAACUUUAUUAAAAAUUCAAUGAGGUUAUAUAAGAUAAACAAGAUAAAAGAAGUAAAUCUUUUUUUUCCUUUUCUUUUUUUCUUUUUUUUAAAGAGACGGGGUCUCUCUCUGUCACCCAGGCUGGAGUGCAGUGAUGUGCUCCUAGCUCACUGCAGCCUCAAACGCCUGGUCUGAAGGGAUCCUCCCACCUCAGUCUCCCAAGCGGCCGGGACUGCAGGUACAGCCAGCUAAUUUUUUUAUUUUUUAGUAAAGACUGGGUCUCUGUUACUUAGGCUGGUCUCGAACUCCUGAGCUCAAGCAAUCCUCCUGCCUUGGCCUCCCAAAGUGCUGGGAUUACAGGCAUGAGCCGCUGCACCCAGCUAAGAGAUACAUGUUUAACUUUUAAUGCAUCCACAGCAUUCUAGUUAAAAAAAGCAUAAAAUUUAGAUUGAAGAAAUUGGAGUUCAAGCAGACCCAUUAAAUAUUUUGCUGAUAUAAGAACAUUAGGAUUUACAAAUGAAAUAUGAGACCUACUAUUUCAAGAAAGGAAAUGAAUAAAGGUACUGGAGAGAAU
rnacentral:lncRNA from 1 species